UUUUUUUGAAACAGCUUUUUAUUAAACAGCAAAGCGUAACUGCAACACAAUUUUAAAUGUUUGAAAAUUUGGUCACAAAGAUGCAAAAAUGUUUGCAGUAUGACUAUUAUAUAUUCACACAGCUAAAGUCAUCAAAUCUUACACCAACACAAACAUAAGAUUAGUCCAUGAUUAGCCUAAAUUUAAUAACUAUAAACUAUAUUAGUGGAUUUCUUUUCCUAUUUAACAUUUUAAUUAACAACUACUGAUUUCCUUACCAAAUGGAACCUACCAAAUUUUAAAAAACGGUUAAAUGACUAAAAUUCUGCAAACCAGUAGUUGGGUUUGCAGAAACUUCUGGGAGAAGUAGAUAAAAUACUGAGAAAGCAUCAAUUAGUUUACAUGUAAAACUCUCUCAUCUUAUUCAUGACUCUGAUACUAAUCCACUCUUAAUGGACUUUGCAAAGUUGAUCUGCUGGUACAACAAAUAAACCUGAGACCAAACUCUAUUCUCUUCCAGGUGUGGUUUACACAAAGUUAGCCAAACUUAAUCCAUUUUUUAAAAUAUUCCUUCCAAAAUCCAAUCUGUGCCAGAGAGAAAAUAAAUCUGGAGUAGAAACAUUUGGAGUUGGUUACAGGUACUUACGAAGUGCUUUUCCCACCCUACUUCUAUUUUUCCUCAAAAUUUUCUAUUUGAAACACACACACAACCAGAACUCAUCUUUUCAGAUACCAAGUGGGUUAUUUUGUGCAAAGGAAGUUUUUAAUAACAAAUCUUCCCCAUACCAUAAUUCAAAGAAAAACCUUCAUUUUUAUAGCCUCCAUUUUCAAUUAAUGCAAGAGAAACCUACUAUCCUUACUACUAAACAUAAUAAAUAAGCCCUAACUGAGAAAGUAACUUAUUUUGGUUAAGUUUCAACAGUUAGAGUUCAGGCUGCUCUCCUAGAUGAUUAGCUACUGAAAUUACUUUCUACAAACGUGUAACCAAUUUUUUCCUUAGGGGAAGGAAAAACAGGAAGAUAGCAAAUGGAAAAGAGGCACACGAUGGUAGACAGGGUACAUAAAGCUGUGCAUUCGGUACAUGAUUUUGGUUACUUUUUCACAACACGGUAGUUAUUUGCUUGUAUCUCUAUGCCUAUAAUAU
ensembl:lncRNA